rnacentral:rRNA from 1 species
AGCGAACGCUGGCGGCGUGCUUAACACAUGCAAGUCGAGCGAAGGUGUUUCAAGGGUAACCUUGAGAUACACUUAGCGGCGGACGGGUGAGUAAUACGUGGAUAACUUACCUCUAGGCCUGGGAUAACCCCGGGAAACUGGGGCUAAUACCUGAUAAGACCACAUUGUCUACGGACAAAGGGGUAAAAGGUGGCUGUGCAAACAGCUAUCGCCAAAAGAUAGGUUCACGUCCCAUCAGGCAGUGGUGAGGUAAUGGCUCACCAAACCAAAGACGGGUAGCCGGCCUUGGCGGGUGAACGGCCACACGGGGACUGAGACACGGCCCCGACUCCUACGGGAGGCAGCAGUGGGGAAUAUUGGGCAAUGGGCGCAAGCCUGACCCAGCGACGUCGCGUUGGGGAAGAAGGCCUU